CUUGGCUCUCAGUUUAACAGUUUAAGUUCAAGUUGUAUCGAGGAGCUCUGACUCAUGAUUUCACUGCAGUGGAUUCCUGUGUCUCUGUUGCAUUGGCAGUGAGGAUCAUUCAGUCUCCUUGGAGAUGAAAAAAGACAGUGCUGCAGAAGAGAGAAGCUGACAUUUUCCAGCACCUUCGUGUACCUUCACCCAAGUGACUGCUCAUCCCUUUGGCACGGGGAGCACAGAAAGACCCCAAAGAGUUGAGACCUUUGUCUAGUGCACAGCACCAGUUUUACCCCUGCUUACAUGAAGACUGAAUCAGGCUGUGACAGCCAGCUAAAG
rnacentral:lncRNA from 1 species